rnacentral:rRNA from 1 species
UGGGAAGCUUUCGCGGUAUGGGAUGGGGUCGGUUCCAUCAAGCUUGACGCCGGGGUAACGCCCCCCCGUGGCUUCGACGGUAGCCGGCCUGAGAGGGCGACCGCCCACAUUGGAUUGAGAUACGGCCCAGACUCCUACGGAAGGCAGCAGUGGGAAUAUGCCACAAUGGGCGCAAGCCUGAUGCAGCGACGCCGCGUGAGGGAUGGAGGCCUUCGGGUUGUAAACCUCUUUUAUCGGGGAGCAAGCGAGAGUGAGUUUUACCCGUUGAAUAAGCACCGGCUAACUACGUGCCAGCAGCCGCGGUAAUACGUAGGGUGCAAGCGUUAUCCGGAAUUAUUGGGCGUAAAGGGCUCGUAGGCGGUUCGUCGCGUCCGGUGUGAAAGUCCAUCGCUUAACGGUGGAUCCGCGCCGGGUACGGGCGGGCUGGAGUGCGGUAGGGGAGACUGGAAUUCCCGGUGUAACGGUGGAAUGUGUAGAUAUCGGGAAGAACACCAAUGGCGAAGGCAGGUCUCUGGGCCGUUACUGACGCUGAGGAGCGAAAGCGUGGGGAGCGAACAGGAUUAGAUACCCUGGUAGUCCACGCCGUAAACGGUGGAUGCUGGAUGUGGGGCCCGUUCCACGGGUUCCGUGUCGGAGCUAACGCGUUAAGCAUCCCGCCUGGGGAGUACGGCCGCAAGGCUAAAACUCAAAGAAAUUGACGGGGGCCCGCACAAGCGGCGGAGCAUGCGGAUUAAUUCGAUGCAACGCGAAGAACCUUACCUGGGCUUGACAUGUUCCCGACCGCUCCAGAGAUGGGGCUUCCCUUCGGGGCGGGUUCACAGGUGGUGCAUGGUCGUCGUCAGCUCGUGUCGUGAGAUGUUGGGUUAAGUCCCGCAACGAGCGCAACCCUCGCCCCGUGUUGCCAGCGGAUUAUGCCGGGAACUCACGGGGGACCGCCGGGGUUAACUCGGAGGAAGGUGGGGAUGACGUCAGAUCAUCAUGCCCCUUACGUCCAGGGCUUCACGCAUGAAAGGAUGACCGGUACAACGGG